GGUUAAGUGACUAAGCGUACACGGUGGAUGCCUAGGCAGUCAGAGGCGAUGAAGGGCGUGCUAAUCUGCGAAAAGCGUCGGUAAGGUGAUAUGAACCGUUACAACCGGCGAUACCCGAAUGGGGAAACCCAGUGUGUUUCGACACACUAUCAUGUCAUGAAUACAUAGUGGCAUGAGGCGAACCGGGGGAACUGAAACAUCUAAGUACCCCGAGGAAAAGAAAUCAACCGAGAUUCCCCCAGUAGCGGCGAGCGAACGGGGAGGAGCCCAGAACCUGAAUCGGCUUGUGUGUUAGUGGAAGCGUCUGGAAAGUCGCGCAGCAAAGGGUGAUAGCCCCGUACACUAAAAUACACAGGUCGUGAGUUCGAUGAGUAGGGCGGGACACGUGACAUCCUGUCUGAAUAUGGGGGGACCAUCCUCCAAGGCUAAAUACUCCUGACUGACCGAUAGUGAACCAGUACCGUGAGGGAAAGGCGAAAAGAACCCCGGCGAGGGGAGUGAAAUAGAACCUGAAACCGUGUACGUACAAGCAGUGGGAGCACCUUCGUGGUGUGACUGCGUACCUUUUGUAUAAUGGGUCAGCGACUUAUAUUUUGUAGCAAGGUUAACCGUAUAGGGGAGCCGUAGGGAAACCGAGUCUUAACUGGGCGAAUAGUUGCAAGGUAUAGACCCGAAACCCGGUGAUCUAGCCAUGGGCAGGUUGAAGGUUGGGUAACACUAACUGGAGGACCGAACCGACUAAUGUUGAAAAAUUAGCGGAUGACUUGUGGCUGGGGGUGAAAGGCCAAUCAAACCGGGAGAUAGCUGGUUCUCCCCGAAAGCUAUUUAGGUAGCGCCUCGUGAACUCAUCUUCGGGGGUAGAGCACUGUUUCGGCUAGGGGGCCAUCCCGGCUUACCAAACCGAUGCAAACUCCGAAUACCGAAGAAUGUUAUCACGGGAGACACACGGCGGGUGCUAACGUCCGUCGUGAAGAGGGAAACAACCCAGACCGCCAGCUAAGGUCCCAAAGUCAUGGUUAAGUGGGAAACGAUGUGGGAAGGCAUAGACAGCCAGGAUGUUGGCUUAGAAGCAGCCAUCAUUUAAAGAAAGCGUAAUAGCUCACUGGUCGAGUCGGCCUGCGCGGAAGAUGUAACGGGGCUAAACCAUGCACCGAAGCUGCGGCAGCGACGCUUAGGCGUUGUUGGGUAGGGGAGCGUUCUGUAAGCCGUUGAAGGUGGCCUGUGAGGGUUGCUGGAGGUAUCAGAAGUGCGAAUGCUGACAUAAGUAACGAUAAAGCGGGUGAAAAGCCCGCUCGCCGGAAGACCAAGGGUUCCUGUCCAACGUUAAUCGGGGCAGGGUGAGUCGACCCCUAAGGCGAGGCUGAAAAGCGUAGUCGAUGGGAAACAGGUUAAUAUUCCUGUACUUGGUGUUACUGCGAAGGGGGGACGGAGAAGGCUAGGCUAGCCGGGCGACGGUUGUCCCGGUUUAAGCGUGUAGGGGGUGUGACCUGGUAAAUCCGGUUANNNNNNNNNNNNNNNNNNNNNNNNNNNNNNNNNNNNNNNNNNNNNNNNNNNNNNNNNNNNNNNNNNNNNNNNNNNNNNNNNNNNNNNNNNNNNNUAAUCGUACCCCAAACCGACACAGGUGGUCAGGUAGAGAAUACCAAGGCGCUUGAGAGAACUCGGGUGAAGGAACUAGGCAAAAUGGUGCCGUAACUUCGGGAGAAGGCACGCUGGCAUGUAGGUGAAGUCCCUUGCGGAUGGAGCUGAAGCCAGUCGAAGAUACCAGCUGGCUGCAACUGUUUAAUAAAAACACAGCACUGUGCAAACACGAAAGUGGACGUAUACGGUGUGACGCCUGCCCGGUGCUGGAAGGUUAAUUGAUGGGGUCAGCCGCAAGGCGAAGCUCUUGAUCGAAGCCCCAGUAAACGGCGGCCGUAACUAUAACGGUCCUAAGGUAGCGAAAUUCCUUGUCGGGUAAGUUCCGACCUGCACGAAUGGCGUAAUGAUGGCCAGGCUGUCUCCACCCGAGACUCAGUGAAAUUGAACUCGCUGUGAAGAUGCAGUGUACCCGCGGCAAGACGGAAAGACCCCGUGAACCUUUACUAUAGCUUGACACUGAACAUUGAGCCUUGAUGUGUAGGAUAGGUGGGAGGCUUUGAAGCGUGGACGCCAGUCUGCGUGGAGCCAUCCUUGAAAUACCACCCUUUAAUGUUUGAUGUUCUAACUCGGCCCCAUAAUCUGGGGUGAGGACAGUGUCUGGUGGGUAGUUUGACUGGGGCGGUCUCCUCCCAAAGAGUAACGGAGGAGCACGAAGGUUAGCUAAUCACGGUCGGACAUCGUGAGGUUAGUGCAAAGGCAUAAGCUAGCUUGACUGCGAGAGUGACGGCUCGAGCAGGUACGAAAGUAGGUCUUAGUGAUCCGGUGGUUCUGAAUGGAAGGGCCAUCGCUCAACGGAUAAAAGGUACUCCGGGGAUAACAGGCUGAUACCGCCCAAGAGUUCAUAUCGACGGCGGUGUUUGGCACCUCGAUGUCGGCUCAUCACAUCCUGGGGCUGAAGUAGGUCCCAAGGGUAUGGCUGUUCGCCAUUUAAAGUGGUACGCGAGCUGGGUUUAGAACGUCGUGAGACAGUUCGGUCCCUAUCUGCCGUGGGCGUUGGAAGAUUGAGAGGGGUUGCUCCUAGUACGAGAGGACCGGAGUGAACGCACCACUGGUGUUCGGGUUGUCAUGCCAAUGGCAUUGCCCGGUAGCUAAGUGCGGAAAAGAUAAGCGCUGAAAGCAUCUAAGCGCGAAACUUGCCUCAAGAUGAGUCUUCCCUGGGCCUUUAAGGCCCCUGAAGGAACGUUUAAGACUAAGACGUUGAUAGGCUGGGUGUGUAAGUGCAGCGAUGCAUUGAGCUAACCAGUACUAAUGAUCCGUGAGGCUUAACCUU
rnacentral:rRNA from 1 species